rnacentral:rRNA from 1 species
UACGGGGGGGAGCAAGCGUUGUUCGGAUUUACUGGGCGUAAAGGGCGCGUAGGCGGCGCAACAAGUCACUUGUGAAAUCUCCGGGCUUAACCCGGAGCGGCCAAGUGAUACUGUCGUGCUAGAGUGCGGAAGGGGCUACUGGAAUUGCCGGUGUAGUGGUGAAAUGCGUAGAGAUCGGCAGGAACACCAAUAGCGAAGGCAGCUCGCUGGGACGUUACUGACGCUGAGGCGCGAAAGCGUGGGGAGCGAACAGG